UUACCAAACAUAAAGCUAUUCUUCCCGACUGCUAGUCCGACUCCACGUCCAGUUACAAGCUCUCUUCAUCGAAGAAGAACGAUGCUGCCUAAGAAACCUCAUCGAAUCUCGUGAUUUCCCGAACCACCGGCUUCUCGCAAUUUCACAAACCUCUACCAUUGCCGCUGACUUCUCUAACCUAAAUCAAGCGUGCUGCUUCAUCCAAGAACACGAAGUUGCUGACUUUUGUAAUCGGAAUCGCCGACGAUUCCGGUGAUGUCUGGCCUCGAUGUUGGUCUCAAAUGACUCAUCAUCACCCGAUAUACCUUCUAGGCCCAUUGCAUGGAAAGGGAAGAAAAUCAUUCCACUCCCUCCAACAGUUCCCGACUCUUAUUUUGCACCGCCAACUCGCGAACCAAGUGCUAUUUCAGCACCUGCAGGAGAUGAACGAAGCGAGAUGGGUCCUUUGGUCCGAAAGAGUUUCAGCAGCUAGGCAGUUGCAACACACGUUAAGUACUUCCAUGUGCCUCCUUAUGCUGGGAUUUUGUUAGACAGGUAUGUAUUUUAUCUUCAUAUACUUCAUAGUUUUAUUUAGUUUUGAUAUAUAAUCAACUAGAAACGCAUUCAGUUGAGUGAAUUCUGCAUUGUGACAUAC